GAGCGGCUCCACCCCCAUCCGCUUGAACAGCGUCUUCACCUCCAAGCAGUACGAGCACCAGGUCUUGGAGUAUAUGACUACGGGGUUCUCCGUCACCGUCUUCUUCACCGAUUCUUCCAUCCGCGCGCCGAAUGUGGCGGUCACGAAGGUUGAGGCGGAGGAGACCGACAUCACCCGCGCCGCCACAACUCCGCCGCCCCUCCGUACGAGGAGGGGGAAGCGGGCGGCGGUGGGCGGCGGGAAGAGGCGAUGGCAGCGCGCGGUGGAGCAAAGCGGCGCCGCCGCCGCGCUAGCCUUGAUCAGGCUGCGGGUCUCCGC
rnacentral:misc_RNA from 1 species